AGUGAACGCUGGCGGUAGGCCUAACACAUGCAAGUCGAACGGCAGCACAGUAAGAGCUUGCUCUUACGGGUGGCGAGUGGCGGACGGGUGAGGAAUACAUCGGAAUCUACUUUUUCGUGGGGGAUAACGUAGGGAAACUUACGCUAAUACCUCAUACGACCUACGGGUGAAAGCAGGGGAUCUUCGGACCUUGCGCGAUUGAAUGAGCCGAUGUCGGAUUAGCUAGUUGGCGGGGUAAAGGCCCACCAAGGCGACGAUCCGUAGCUGGUCUGAGAGGAUGAUCAGCCACACUGGAACUGAGACACGGUCCAGACUCCUACGGGAGGCAGCAGUGGGGAAUAUUGGACAAUGGGCGCAAGCCUGAUCCAGCCAUACCGCGUGGGUGAAGAAGGCCUUCGGGUUGUAAAGCCCUUUUGUUGGGAAAGAAAAGCAGCAGGUUAAUACCCCGCUGUUCUGACGGUACCCAAAAAAUAAGCACCGGCUAACUUCGUG
rnacentral:rRNA from 1 species